rnacentral:lncRNA from 1 species
UCAAUUAUCCCUUCAAUUAAUAGAUUAAAUGGGUCAUGAUAAAUUUAAAUAAGUGUCUGAUGGUAUGUAAAUUGAGAUGAUACCAUUAACCCAAGCUGAUAUUACAUAUAUUUUAGGUGCAGAAUUAUCUUACUAUUGUAUUAGAAAAGAGGGAAUUAGAGAGCAAUAUUUUUUGUUGAGCCAUAUGAUUGGGUUAUGCCCCACCCCAACCCCC